GUAAACUGCGAAUGGCUCGGUAAAUCAGUUAUAGUUUAUUUGAUAGUGCAUCCUACUCGGAUAACCGUAGUAACACUAGAGCUAAUACGUGCGUAAAUCCCGACUUUUUGAAGGGACGUAUUUAUUAGAUUUAUGGCUAACCGGGCUUGCCCGACCAGCGGUGAAUCAUAGUAACUUGACUGAUUGCAUGGCCUCGUGCCGGCGACGUGUCAUUCAAGUUUCUGCCCCAUCAGGUUUCGACUGUAGUGUAUUGGACUACAGUGCCUAUAACGGGUAGCGGAGGAUUAGGGUUCGAUUCCGGAGAGGGAGCCUGAGAAACGGCUACCACAUCCAAGGAAGGCAGCAGGCGCGCAAAUUACCCAAUCCCAAUUCAGGGAGGUAGUGACAAGAAAUAACAAUGCUGGGGCAAUUCGCUUCUGCAAUUGGAAUGAGAACAACUUAAACCACUUAACGAGUACCAAUUGGAGGGCAAGUCUGGUGCCAGCAGCCGCGGUAAUUCCAGCUCCAAUAGCGUAUAUGUAAGUUGUUGCGAUUAAAAAGCCCGUAGCUGAACCUCGGAUAACCCUGCCGGUCCGC
rnacentral:rRNA from 1 species